rnacentral:lncRNA from 1 species
UGGAAACGAUUCUUGUUGGUACCACAUCUUGGUACCCUGACUCUGGGGCUAGCCAUCAUGUCUGUCGGGAGCCAUCGAUUUUACACGACCCCACUCCGUACUUAGGUAUGUCUUCUCUUUUAAUUGGUGAUGGAACUCCUGCUAAGAUUUCAUUGGUUGGCAGUAGUGUUUUACCUGCUCAGUCCAAAUUGUUGUGUUUGUCUAAUGUUUUACGUGUGGCCAAUAUACGAAAGAAUCUUCUGUCAGUAUCACAGUUUACUAAUAAUAAUGAUGUAUUCUUUGAAUUUCAUCCAACUCAUUGUGUUAUUAAGGAUAUCGUGACCCUGGAAGUUUUCCUGACGGGCCACAUUCGUGAAGGACUAUAUCAUUUUCCCUACCUAUGGCCUCUGCUCUGUCAACUGAAGCUCCUAAACCUCCUUUUGUUGCUCAUACGAAGG